CAAGUAUAUAAAGAGAUUGUUACAGAAUCAUAGCUAUAUAUCAAAGAGAGCCAUAUAAAAAUCUAAAUAAAAAAAAUGGCUAAAGCGUUUAAAUGUGUAGGUACUACACGUAGAACUCUAAUAAGAAAUUAAAUAUGUAAACGGAGUGAAUUGAAAUAUCUUAGUAACUUCAGGAAAAGAAAUCAAAAGAGAUUUUUUAAGUAAUGUGAAUGAAAUAAGAAACGUCUCAAAAAGUAAAAUGGAUGGAAAUCUGUUUGAAGAAAAGGGGAACCUUCCUCUAAGACUAAAUAUGAUGUAUAUGCGAUAGUGAAAAGUACCGUGAGGGAAAUGAUUAAAAUAGCAAUUUUAUAAGCAGCUCAAGAAAAAUUUAAGUAAAUAAUAAGAGCGUACCUUUUGCAUAAUGGGUCAGCAAGUUAAUGUUUGAUGCGAGCAGUAAUGCGUAGAUAAAACAAUUAUGAUAUAAUGAUGUAGUAUCAAAAAUUAGACCCGAAACCUAGUGAUCUUACCAUAAUCAGGGUUAUAAAAGUCCGAACGGGUUAUCGUUGUAAAGAUAUCCGAAGAAUUGUGGUAAGUUAGUGAAAGACAACACUGACUAGGCGUUAGCUGGUUUUCUGCGAAACCUAUUGAAGUAGGUAAUUUAAAUAGAAUAUCAGGAGGUACAGAAUUGUGAUCUCAUACAACUAGCAUUUUAUUUUCAUCUUUUUUGUUUUGUCUUUUUACUUAAAAAAUAAAAAGUAUUAACUAUUAGAAGAUUAUGGUGAAAUGCUCUUUGUGGACAUUGGGGGGUCGUGAAGACUCUAUCAGUGAGUAUUUGUUCUCGGAAGGACUAGAUAUGUAUAUUAAAUAAUCGGACAUAGUGCGAAAAGGUUGUAUGUCUAAAGGGAAACAGCCCAGAACAAGAGUUAAUAAGGUUCCUAAAUUUUUGUUAAGUGAAAUUAAGGCAGUAUUUAGCCUAGUCGACCAGGGAAUAGGCUUAGAAGCGGCCAUUUUUUGAAGAUCUCGUAACAGAGCACUGGUUUGUCAUAUGGAUAAAAGCACCUAAAAUUUAACGGAUCUAAACAAUAUACCGAAACCUUGUCCAUAUAAAAGAUAAAACAUAUAUUAUGUAUGGGGUAGCAGAACAUUGGGCAGGUUUUAGAUUAUUUCUUUAUAAGGACUAAAAUUAAACAGCUCAAGUGAGAAUGCUGACAUGAGUAACGAUAAAGGGUAUUACCCUCGCCUAAAGCUUAUGGAAUUUAGAUAAAGUUACGGCCUCUAAGUUUAUAAUAACUUUUACUAAAAAAGUGAAAAAUGUUCUGGAAAUCUGUAAAAAGCAUUUUCUUGUGUAAAUAAACUAAAAUAGAUGAUACGCAAAAAAAUGAAAUAUACCGUACCUAAAUACUAACACAAGUAAGCAAGUAGAGUAUACGAAGGCGUUCGAGUGAACAAUCAUUAAGGAACUCGGCAAAUUGACUCUCGUAACUUCGGGAUAAGGUGGGCCAUUCUUCUGGAUUAAUAUUAACGGAGGAAUAGGAGGCAUAGAAUGGUGUUGUACGACUGUUUAAUUAAAACAAAGCACGCUGCAAAGAAAUAAAUUCGAAGUAUUGAGUGUGAUCUCUGCCCGAUGGUAGAUGGUUAUCGGAUUUGCUUAGUUGACUAAUACAGGCUAGGUUUUGAAGGAACCCCUGCUCAAUGGCGGCCUUACAGAUGAGGGCCCUAAGGUAGCGGAAUACCCUGGCCGUUGAAUGCGGUCUUGCAUGAAUGAUGUAACGAUACAACAGCUGUCUCAAUGAUUGGCUCGGUGAAAUUGGAAUAACUGUGCAGAUACAGUUUACCUCUAGUUAGACGAGAAGACCCUUUGCAGCUUUACUGUUGCUAGUUACUGAGUAUGAUACAAUAAGUUAUAGCGUAUAAGGUAAUUGAUAAGAUAUAAUUGAAACACCUUUACUUAAUUUGUCAUAUUAUAUAUACCAUGUUAAAAUGUUAGCAUUGGUUAUAAAAAUUGAUAAAACAAUUGCUAGGUGGCAGUUUAUGCGGGGCACAGAUCCCAUAAAAAGUACCUGGGAGUAUCCAAAUUCAUUUCUGUAAAAUUGCAUCUUGCAAUUAUACAUGUUUAAAUUUAUUUCUAGACAUGUUUAUUAUUUUUAGUUAGAAAUUGGUAUUAAUGUAAUACUAAUCCAGUUAUUUAUUCAUUUAAGUUGGAGUUUUUAAUUUUUAAGUAGGAUUUUAACUACAUUAAAAUGUAGAUGUAAUUAAAGAUAAUUAUAAUACUUAUCAAGUUUAACGGCUUAAUCCUGCUUUACUGUUUGACUUACACGUCUAUCAGUCGCGUAAGCGGGGCAUAUGAUCACAAGAUGCAGAAAGGAAAGGUCUUGGAUUAAUGAAAAAGUUACGCUAGGGAUAACAGGCUAAUUGCGCCAGAGAGUACAAAUUGAGUGCGCAGUUUGGCACCUCGAUGUCGGCUUAGCUCAUCCACAUGAAUGCAGGAGUCAUGAAGGGUUGGACUGUUCGUCCAUUAAAGAGCUACACGAGCUGGGUUUAAUACGUCGUGAGACAGUAUGGUUUCUAUCUUCUAGAGGAAAUUAGAAUAAAAUAAGGAUAGCCCCUUGUACGAAAGGAGUUGGGUAUAUUAACCUAUGGUUUACCUGUUGUUUACUCACCUAUAUUAAUAUAGUAUAUAGGCACGGCAGGAAAGCUAUGUUAGUUAAUGAUAAAUGCUGAAUGCAUAUAGGCACGAAACAUACCUUAAGAUAUUCUUAAAUAUAUGUAGUUUAAUACUACGAUUUAUUAAUAGGCUUUGGUUUAAAGAAUUGUGACGUUUUUAGGCACAAAGUACUAAUUUUAUAAUUUACUAAAUAAUA
rnacentral:rRNA from 1 species